AAUGUUCAGGGUAGAUUUCAUCCCUUAAAAAUAAAUUACUGAGUGAGAAAACUGACUAUAGAUAUUUUAAUUUUACCCAUGACAUACUAGUUUUGUAUCUAUGCUAAUCUCAGCUAGCUCUGUGCUAAUACCAAAUUCAGAUAAUGCUUUGCUAUGUAAAACAUUUAACUGUCUUUCAGGCUAUUCCUAAAAGGAUAAAAUACAGCAGCCAGGCUAAUAACACCAGUAGUGUAGCCUAGGUAAAUGUCAAGUGACAUUGGCAGUAGUAACUGAGUCUGCAUAGUCCAAUAUGUCAUGACAAAGUAUAAGAAAUGGAAUUUUUUUUUUUAGCCACUGUCUUCAACAGUAGCUUUCUGUUUAGUAGACAUGCUUGUAUAUAAUGCUAGUCUCAUGAACAAAUACUUCUGGGAUGAACAAGAAAAAAGAAAAUAACUGCAGGUGUCCUGUGGGUUAUCUCAAAGAGCAACUCUGCCUGACCAAGAAGGAAUAUUUAAGGAGUAAAAGGACAUUGUUCUCAAUUGAAAUUGUUAUAUCUAGUCAGACAGUUUUCUUAAGAUAAAUUUUAAUUUUACAAGUAGAAAACAUAUGUGGUCUUAACUGUUCUUAGUGCUUACCAGAUAUCUUGACUACAUAUGUA